UGUCCGUCAGGAGUCCAGUUGGGAAAAUCUGAACAGCUACACUUGUCCUCACACAGAAAGCUGUUCAACAUGGAAAGCUCGUGACACGAGACAUUAUUUAUCUGAUAACCCGAGCUCGCAUGUGCACAGGACUGCAGGACCGGAGUAAUGUGAGAGCAGUUUUGAUUAAGGUGAGAACAUCCAAAAGGUAAAUAUGUCCUCUGUUGAUUUGUUUACGUUGCAACCAAAACACAGACCUUGGUGAGAUGAAAGUUGUCGCUCAGAAACAUCAAGCAGCCUGGUGAGAAAUGAGGAAUGACGCUAAAUAUCUUACGGAGACGGAGCAUCGGUUUAAACAACUCUAAACAGAUGGUUACAAAAGAAGGGCUGUUUUUUCUGAGUGGGGGGGGGGACCACACGUUUGCCUUAUUACAUCGUCACAUGUGUGUUGUAAAGCUGCAGCCAAUCCUGCUCCUGAAUCUAAUCACACUCACAGGGAAACGCAGUUCAGAGUAAAAAAAGAAUAAAAACAAAAGGAAAGAUGUGAGAAUAUCAGUGGAUGUCGUCGACUUUCAGAAGGAAACACAGACCCUUACUAAAGUAUAAAAAAAGAUUAUCAGCUUUACAAAGAGCAGAUAUUCAUUUAGGUUGUUCUUUCAUCUACAGUGGCUGUCCGAUGUUUGUAUUGAGGUCGUGUGUACAAAAUAUUGUUGAUAACAUUCCUAAAUAUAAAUUAGUUUACAUACAAAUACAAAAAGAGCUUGGAUUAUAAUUUCUUUUGUUUUAUUUUCUUUCUGUUUGGAACAACAGAUUGAUAUAGAUUACACUGUUUUACAUACAGUACACAGUUUUUACAUGAAGUUUUUGAUUGAGGCUUAUCAUCAAGGCAUGGGAGCGUUAGGAAUAUUAUUUAUUAUUAUGUAUGUACUAUGACAGCAUGCAUUUUGACACAUAUGAAUACAACCCAAUAUAUUUGCUUCUUUAGUUUUCUCUUGCCUGUGAAUGUAAUUUAAGUCAUGAGUUCUUUAAGGAUAUAAGCAGGAUACAACCACCAUACAGUGUUCGCCCCUUAUACAGGAGCAUGUGAUCCAGACUUUGAAAAUGAGUACAACUGUUAAUUACAGAAAAUGGAAACACUACUCCUAAGGUAUCAACAAUACUUAAACCAAAUACAAGAGAUAUUAAGGAACACGUGGAAAUCUUCAAAUAAUCUAAACAUUUGUGAGCAACAGUAAAGAUGGAUUACACAACUUUAUAACAUUUUAAUGGUAAAUUACAUCAUCUAUAAUAAAUUGCACUGAGCGCGAGUAUAAUGUUCCAUAUAAUUAGUAAUUACAGUAUAUUUGCACGUAUGAUACAUUAUAACUCAUUGUAAAUGUACAGUAUGUAUAUUAUUUUGCAGAUACUUUGUGUGUUCAUUCCACUGGACUGAAACCUCUUGUAUAUUUCUCCAUUCACACUUGCAGAGCAGAUGAAUGUGUCUUAAUGUGCCUUGGCUCCGACUCACAGUGGGAGCUGAUGGAUUGGAUCAGGUAUUUGAGUCGGUACCAAGGACACAUGUUCCGUUUUAACAGAUCUCUUAGAUCGACUCUAAUGAGUCUGAAACCACAAGCCAAACUUGUUUGAUUUGCCAGCAGAAUUGAAGCAUCACAUUUGUUCGUAACAAGCUGCACUAACUAAUCAGGUUGUGUGUGUGUGUGUGUGUGUGUGUGUGUGUUUGACCAAUCUGAAAAUUAGCGUGGCAGUGAUUACCACUGAUCUCUUAUUUCUGUCCUUGGAGAAGCGUUUAAAAUCUUAUUUACAUUGUCAUUGCCAGGCAAUCACACUGAUUACAUUUUCAUCCCUCCUAAUGAUGCUUAUUAAAUGUUUUAACUUUUUCCAGGUACCUGCUGAAGACACAGUCCUGAGAGACUUUUUUAUUUUACCUUAUCAUUCGCUCGUGAAUGUACAGUAUAUUGACCAAGCUUUUUUAAAUACUAUUGAAAGUGAGAAAGCAUUGAUAAAGUAUGUAUGAAGAAUAGUAAAGUUUUACAGUUGGUUUCAGUUGAUUUUGUCCCCGACCAAUGACUGUACUUUUAGGUGUUUUUUUCAGUUCGGAGAGUGGCGAGCAAUCGGCCACUUUAAACUAAAACACUGUAAUGACUGGGGAUGCAGGGUUAUACUGGCACUCCACAUCCAUCUACUCAGAACUAGCAGGUCCUGAGCUUGACCAAGAGCCGCCCUUUCAAAAUCCUUUUACCCCUUAGUGCCUCUGCAAUGGUAGAAUGUCCUGGACUUUGGAAAAUGACAGAAAAUAAAGCACUGGAAGCACAAAACACUCGAUAGUACUUUGUUCAGAAUAACUGGUCGAGCUGUAAGAUGCUAAACCACUGAGCCUUGUUCCUCCAGAAAACUCUGGUUUUCUGCUUUCAUUGUUAAGAAAGAAAUGUAUUGUUAACAGAUAGAAUGCAACCACCGAAGGCUACUUCUAAUUAAAAUAAUAGCAAUAAUCCAGUCGGAUGUGAUCAUAAUCUGUCUGCAGUGCCAGGGCGUAAAGGAUCCAGAGACAUGCCUCUCCAUCAUGCUUUGCUUCUCUCUCUGGCACAUUUGACAGCUCCACGCCUCAGCUAGAUUAGCAAAUUAUACAAAUGCAAGGGUGGCAAGGUGUAAUUGAAGAUGGCAAAAGGGCUGAUUGGGAGACGCUUAAAUGAUUGUUCUCCAGCGUUCAACACGGAGGGCGUGAGGCAGAGGCCGCGGAGAGAAACGCAAGCGAUCACUGCUCCUGACAGGUGGAUGACAACUCUCUCUCUCUCUCUCUCUCUCUCUCUGUCUCUCUCUCUCUCUCCCUCCCUGUCAACCUUUACAUACAGUGUCAGCAAAUGCAUGUGCAAGAUGGGCUCACUGUGUCUAGGUCCGUGCAUAAGCUUGUUUUUGUGAGCGUGUCUUUGCCUCUCAUGCGUUUAUGCCGAUGUGUUAACCUGCGUGCAAUAUGGCUGGCAGGCGUGCACAGAAGGCCCUGCGGACUUCCUUAGUCAGAGCCACCACAAAGCGGGGAAGAUUUAUAUCACACACAUUACAGCACUACCACCAUGACAGCAUCUACUGGAAGACCCAAGACACCUUUUAAUGAACACACUCAUUUAAGAAAUAUCACACUGUGCUCUGAAAUAUAAAUCAGAAAUGAAGAUGCUGCAGUGGAGGGAAGAAAUGGCCUGAUACAUGGAUGUACCUCUUUAUUUUGUUGAAUUCAGUAAUUGAAUUGAAGCUUUUACUCAGGGGUAGACUCAAGAGGUAGAGCAGGUCAUCCACAGACCAGAAGGCCGGCAGUUCGAUCCCCAUCACCCCCAUUUCCCAUGUCGAUUCAUCCUUGGGCAAAAUACUGAACCCAAAUUGCCUCUAACGCCUGUGCCGGUAGUGUGAGUAAUGUGUGAUAGAGAAAGCGCUGCCCAUAGAUGCACUGUAUGAAUGUGUGUGAAUUUUUGAAUGGCAAAACUGUACCAUAAAGAGCUUUGAGUGGUCAUCAAGACUAUAAGUGCUAACACGUACCAUUAACCAGACCAUUUACUUGUUUUAAAAAGCAAUAUAUCUUUUUGGAUAUAUCACCAAUUGUGCAUUUUUGUGCAGAAAUUUCCAACAGUGAAAUUCUUUCUUCUUGUAGUUCCCACUUCCAGUCCCUUGCCUGCGUGGCAGUCAUACAGUACUUGCCAAAAUAAAACAACUGACAUAUCACUUUUUCCUCUCAGAGUUGUGUUCUGUCAUGUUAAAUGCAGUUGACAGAGGAGCCAGGCAACACCCUAAACCUCUGGCCUGAGACUUUGUUUUCCCUGGGCACCACAGUACUGUACUCCCUCAAGCUUCCCUGUGCUUCAGGCUGCGGCUGCUUCACUUUACCCUCUCAUGUCGUACGUUUGACAGAACAGAGUGUUACACUCGUCUGUCAUGAUCUCAAAGGGUGACGCAAACGUAUGGAUCUAACACAACCGGAUAUCACUGCACUUACAACAAGUACAGCUCCUGGAAAUUUACUCUACUGUGAAUACUGCAAGGUGUGUGCAAAACGGGAAUAUACUUUUAUCAUAUAUCAUUCUGAUCUAGUAACAUUAAAAUACCAGUGAAAAAUCAUGUUACUAAUUAAACUUUGAAUUGGUUUCUCGAUUCACUUUGAACCCAAAAAUCAUAUGGUCUUCGCAGCACGUGCCUCUAUGUUUUACCUGACCGUGCCAUUGUGUAAACCACAAGACCCCAGAGUUUUACCAAAGACCCCAAACCUAUCUGUGCAUUUUGUGUCUAGUCAACAAAUGUACUUUUAGACUGAGGUGCAGACUAUCUUCAACAUUUUAUUCCCAGUUCGCUCAUUGAAGAAAAGCCACAAUGAUCCCUGAAAAUGAAGAAAGGAAAAAUAGGAUUGAUGGGAAAAAAAUGAAUGAUGCUUGGCUAUUGAUGUUGAUGAAUUUACUUGUGAAUACUUACUUGAUUAAACACUUACACAACACUUACACAAAGGUUAAAAACUAAUAGAGACAGACAAGAUAUAUAUAUAUUUUUGUCAUCACAUGAAAAAAUCUCAUCGGUCUUCAAAAAUAUUGAUUAGUUCAAGAGACUGAGAUUUCCUUUAUAUAUCAGGUUUUACUAUCGUACUUUAAAUUUCAAUAACCUACAUGGAAAUGUCACAAACAUAUGUAAUAGUCUGAUUCAUCAAGCUUGGUAUGAACUCCUCAUGAGUUGAUGCUAUAUAUAGCUUUACUUUGAAAAACACACUAAUAGGCAAUUUCUUGCUUGGCAUGCUUUCAAAGGAAGUCAGGAUCAUGUAUUGAGUUAAUAUGGCCUUAUUGAAUGUGCUAGUGUGUAGUUAAGUUGGGUUCAAAUGGGAUCACAAGUUUAUCACUCUCUCUGUUCCUAUUGGUUGUCAUAUCAAAUCGUCUGCAGUGGAGGUUUACUCAGGGGUGAGAGCACUCAAAGAGCAAUAUGAGGAGAAAAUGAGUUAAAUCAUUGAGAUUUAAUUGAAUGAUGUGGUGGCACUGUAUCUAAGUCAACGAUUAAAACUUGAAGCGUGAAUAUUAAUCAAGUGCUCAUUUUUUCUGGUAUUUUGAGUUUGCUCCAAUCUACUCAUGGAAGCUUAUGAGAUGUGGCAAAUCAGGAAGUCAUCCAAUUUUUUUUUGCUCUUUCUUACUCUUUAGCUAAUAUCUUUGACGUCCUCCCCUGAAUUGUAGAUAUGGGACUGACGUUUCAAUUGGACCGCCCGUCACUUUAAAGAUGGUGCCUCAGGCCGCAGCUUGAAUCACAAUAAGAGGAGGAGAGGCUCGCUUUUGCUGCCACUCAAAAUCCUCUUGUGAUUUCACAAAGCACCAUAUCAUACAUGUUUAAUUAUUUUUUAUUAUAUUCAUAUACAGCUAAUAUACAGUAUUUUGUCCAUAGUUACAUGAGCCGUCCAUCCCAAUUUGUACUCUGUAAAAAGAAAGAAAGAAACAUGAGAGAGAUUUAUGUGGAAGUUAGAGUGAACACAGAGCAGUGAGUGCAAGGGUAAGUGCUUCACUUUGUUACCAUGGACACCUGAAAAUGCUUUCUGUGAUUUUCUUUUUUUCAGCACAGGAGAGGAUGAACAGACUGGGAAGCAGAAGGAGAAAAAUAUGUUGGUUAGACCUGGAUUUCAUUCGGUCUAAUUCAUGAUUAGACAGAUUGUGUGUGAACAUAAUUUACAUCGCGUCAAUUUAGAGGAGUGAAUACAUACGUAGGUGUGUGUGAUUUAUUCUCUGAAUGUUUGAUACUCGUCAGGGAAUUUACUUUUCCUGUACAACUGUCCUUUAGGAAAAAUGUCAGGCUGGGCUUACAGAAGGAACAGUGUGGGAUAAAGACUCAGCCAUGGCACCAGUCAUAAUCCACCCUUCAAAAGAGCCAGAUGGAGAGGAUCCUUUCACAGGGGGGCCUCUUAUAAAACCAACACCACUCAUCAGGACAGAGCUCCAGAGGACCGGUCCGGUCAAACCUUGUUAAUCUAACUAUGGUCCAGGUUGGGUCGAGGCCUGGGCAUGGUAUUUAUCAAGCACAUCAGAUUGGGAGUGCUGAUUUAAAGUCAGCAUUUCAAAUCCUUUUAACUGAGAGUGAUUCGUGAUGAAAAUGGGGGGUUAAAGGGGGACCUGAGCAGUGGUCCUAAAUCAGCAGUCUUACCCCGAGACGCUUGAUAAACAUACAGCCCCGGGGGUUUGUGUCUGGGCUGGUGGGACUGUGGGGCAGAAAGGUAUGUGCUUAGUGGUGAUUGUGCGCCGCGGCCUCCCCUCAUUCUCCGAGGCCGAACACACACAGAGCGACCUUGUGUGGAGCAGAGGGCUGGGCAGACCCGCUGAAGUCAGCUCACGCCAUGCACUGCACUGUGGGCGAAAGAAGAAACGAUCCUUCUGGGUUACGCAUGCAAAUAUUCACCAGAAAAGGCCACGGUUUUCUGCAUAUUAUCAUUUAAAAAGAAACCCAGAAAACUGACAUACAUGCCUGUAUUCGUACGAGUGAUUCUCAUAGGCAUCAGCUCCGAGCCAGACUGUAGGCUUGUCCCAGACUACUGUAGAGUUGUUAUGAAAGCACUCAUAAAUCCACCCAGAGUUACAUAAACCUGUCAGUGGGUUCAUUACGAUAAUUACUUUAAUUUUCUGUUGAUGAUUUAAGGAUAAAGCAACAGGAAAAAAAAAAAGAAAAUAAAACAAAGUGAAACAAGUUUUCAGAGAGGACGCCACGGCACGUUUCCUGCUGAGCGCCCGUCACCUCUCAGCUGACAGGACCCUUUGUAUUUCACCACUGGCAUGGCCCACAGUGUAGUGAGCCACAGAUGCACCCUCGGCAUGCACCAGAAUACACAUGUGCACUAAUGAGUGAAUUCCGAACUUACAAUGCACAUGCAUGAACACACGCAUAAAUGCAUGGGCUAGACAAAAAUCCCUUAACCCAGAACAAACAAGAGUGUAUUUGGACUGGCUGGUCCUUGUUUGAUUUAAGUUUACUGACUGUACUGCAGCCAUUGUGGUUUUUGAGGUCGACAGACUGCCAUGCUGCUUUUUCCCCCCUCUUGACCCUGCCACACUCAUACCCUGCCAUACAAAGACAACCGGGCUUUAGUCCUCUGUCCCUCCACUUGGUCCCUCCACAGCUCCAUUAAAAAAAGGUAGAAACUGCUCAAAUGCCCUCAAAUGCCAGGCCCCUACUGGCAGGGCAGCGUACUCAGAAGAAACCUUCCGCCAAAAUACACAAGCCAGUAAAUUAACCCCGCUCAACGUGGAUAUGUCUGCACAUGCAAAUGGUUGUGUAUUGUUCAAGCUCUCUGGUGAUAAAAAGCAAUAACGUGUCUCUGCGGCUGUAACACAGAUGAUAUCACCAUGGUAAAGUUGCUUUGAUCACGACACCAAAUCUCUCCCUCAUCUGGCGCUGUCAUAAUUACAUGAACUCCCACCGACAUCCAUCAACCACGCCCCACCCCCACCCAAAAAGACGACUGAAUUCCUGUCAAUGAGGUCAUAGCGAAAAAUAAAAGGGAGACAGACGCAGACGCCUAAAUGUAUAAGUGUACAGGUAGUCAUGGUGACAGGAUUUUCCAAGAAUAAACAGAUUAGUUAAUUAUCUGUGCCCAGAAACAUGUAAACAAUACAACCAGAUCAAUACAAAAUAUAUUUCACUGUCACAAGGGUGUGAAUACGUAUCGUCAAGGGAACGCCACUGUUUUAUCUCCUGUAAAGGUGGAUUUCAUCUUUUGGAUGCAUUCUGGGAAAUACCAGUCAGUUGUUUUAACUCAUCUUUCCUUUAAAUCAUCAAUCUCAACAUUAGCUAAUUUGUUGAUUUGAAGAGAUGUAUAUAUAAAAUACUUAUUUAAAUGCAUCAGUCAGUGUUAUUAUAUUAGAUUUUGACAUCAGGUCUAAGAACCUGUCUGGAAAAUACUUGAUUAAAAAUAUCAAUUACAUCUGUGCCACCUCCACAACAGUCUAAUGUGCAAACAGUCACAGAGGAUAUUAUGAUUUAAACUCACAUUCUUCUGAAUGUAUCAUUAAGAGGGAGAAAUGUCUCGUAAAACUUUCCUCCUGCAUGAUUUUUAUCAGGUUUUAAAUGAGAAACAUUUCCUGAACAUUAUGGUUCUUUGGAAAAAAAACAAGACUGUGGGUGGAUUUUAGUCAUAGUUAUACUCAAUUAAAUGAGCUUAUAAUUACCAAAUUAUAGGUGUAUACCACUGCACCUGGUAUUUUGACAUUUGACAAGAUGCUAUCAAUGCCAUGUUAAUCUCUUCCAGUGGAUAAUUUACUUAUGAUUCACAUAUAUUAAGCUGAUGCGGGUUAUGAAACAGAUAACAUUGUUUGCUACAGCAGAGUUUAUUUAAUAUGUUUUACCCUAGGUCACCGAAUUAGAGAAGUAAUAAUGUUUAAAUAAGCUUUUAAUCUGGGAAUGUCAAUAAUACAAAGUCUUGGAUCUGGCUCGUUUAUAUAGCUGUGCAUAUUUUUUCGAAAUGCCUAUAGAAAGGUUAAAGAAACGCAUUUGAAGUUUGUGUUAAGUUUGGAUAUUUACUGUCGCUCGACUAAGAAUGUCGCCUACACAGUUUCAAGUUGUGGUGUGUGA